rnacentral:lncRNA from 1 species
CUAUUUUGUGAACAUUUUAUUAUUCUUUUAUUAGCUUUUUCCAUAGGCUUAUUCUUCCGGAGAGCUCUGUCCCUGGCACUACCUAUUAAAGAUGUCAGCAUGGACAAGGUGAUGGACCCAGACAGACUGGGAGCCCCUCACAACUCUGACAUCCUGGGAUCUGUCAUGCUGGCAGUAAGCAAAAAUGUUUACAGCUGUGUCCUGAACACAAGCUGGUCUGGAGGCCCCAGUGGAGGCCCUGCUUCGUGGAGAGGUGCCGGCACCCUGGUGCUGUGUGGCCAGCUGUGCCCGAGCUGUUCAACCAACUGUGUAAUUGAAAAGCUUUUUGAUUUUUCCCCUCCUUUUGCAAACAGCCUGCGUUUUGUUCUGCGGCAUCAAAGGCCAGGAGCUCGGAGGAACAAUGGGUCUGCAGGAGCCCUGGGGAACAAUGGCUGUACCUGGUCCUGGGAAGAAAGCAAGUACUUGGAAGAACAGAGAGAGCUCCCAGUUCAGCAACACAAUUGGCCUCAUCUGGAAAUCUAACUUCGGAGAUCUACACCUUGGCAUGGUCACCCAGAGAAACUGAACUGCAGAGCUGCUGCCGUAGACUGAGCUGAGAGACAACUUAGCUCGUCAGUGCAAUAUUUACUGCACUACUGGGAACUGAUGACAUUAUUGAGUGUUGAAAUAGGAUGGAGCAGUGGAGGAUGGUGUUUUCCCUGCAAACAGGUGGAUGGUAUGCUUUGUCUAAAAGGUGUUUUACAGCUUUAAAGCAGCAGGAUCUUCUUUGUCACUUGAACAGGAAGCCUUUGCUGCUAAGAAUAGCGCAUACAAGCGCCUGCUGUGCUCACACCUACUAUGUAUUUCAAGGAGAAAUUUGGGGGGGUUAAAAGCUCUGAGCAUCUUUUCUGGGGCCCUAUGGACCUCACCAUUUACUUUCACUGGAAAGAUUCCCCACUGUCUUGCAUUUGGCUGAAGUGAACAAGUGAGAUUCCCAAUGUGUGACUUCUGCCAGCUCGGAUCCUGGGAAGAGUCCACCUCUGAUCCCUGAAGUUAGAUGAUGCAACUCACUGCACAUUGGGGUCUCACUGAAUAUAAGUGGAGUGUGUUAUUCUUCCUGACUUUCCAGUCUCCUCUUCAGUGCUGUUCUGGGAAGAAAGGAGGAUGCUUCUGGAUAUUGGAGUCGUUUCCUCAGGAAUGACCCAGUGGAUGGGACUGCUGUAGGAUUUUUUGGCUGCAGAGCGCACUACUCUUGUGAGCAGUAUCAUUGCUCUGCUGUGAAACUGCAGUGUUUGCCACUGAGACCCUGCUGAGUGACAGGAAAGUUCUACCCAGAUCUCAGAAAAUCAGAGGUUCACUUUGAUAAGUAGAGUCCUCACAGUGCGUGAAACCAAAUGAGCUGUGCCAAGUGUGGGGCUGAGAAUAGCAUGGUGAUAUUUUGGCAGGUGAAAGGCAAAGAACUUUUGAUCUCCAGGUUCAGAGAAAACUGUGUAAAGAUGAGGUUAUUUGGAGUGCAGAUCCAUACUGUGUGGUCUGAGCCCGAUGCACUGAACUCCAGACCUGGGACUGUGGUUUUUGGGAGUUUCCCGCUGCUCUCCAGAGAGGUGACUGCAACUUCUCCAGAAUUCUGGGCAGCCUUUAAGCCUGCUGGCUUGGAAACUGAAGCACCAGAGCUGCAAUCACUCAGGUUUUGUUUGCCAAGGAUUUACCCAGAGCCCUGGGCAGCUCUUGACUUUUUGCCUUACCUAAGGCAAGGAGAUUAGAUAACAGCUUGGAAUGAGAGUGAAGAAAGUCCAUGCACAUGGAGUAUCUUGCUGCCUCAGCUGUUGGUGAGGUCAUGGGGAUGCCUUUUGGGCUGGUAUUAGUCCAGGAUAUUAUUCUAAAUGGGAGUUCAGCAUAUCUUGGUUGGAUACUUUGCUGGAAAACUUGCACCUGCAUCAUAUGGGCAUUUGGCAUCAUCUAGGCUUUGGAAGUCUCGUGUGCCUGUGCUUUGGAGUUUUAAGGGGUGCAAGACCAUGCAGUGUGGUGGUUAUAUCCAGGAGACGUGAGGGGAGGCCUAAUAAAGAGACAACUGAGUGGCCUGGAUUGGUUCUAUGAAGAAUGCAAAACAAUCCUGGGCCAUCUCAGAGUAAGCUGCACUCAUGGUGCCUCUUGAACCCAUGUCCUGUUAUUGUUGGUGUGGAACAUGAGUGUCUGGGCCAAUGAAAAUAAGGAAGGCAGCUUGACAGACACAGAUUUUAUCUUUUGAGAUUCGUCAUGACCUUUCUAGUGUUUAAUAAAUAAAG